AUUGAUGGUGCUUGCACCKGAUUGACGAUGGAUYACCAGUGAGUGGCGGACGGGUGAGUAACACGUAGGUAACCUGCCCCGGAGCGGGGGAUAACAUUUGGAAACAGAUGCUAAUACCGCAUAACAACAAAAGCCACAUGGCUUUUGUUUGAAAGAUGGCUUUGGCUAUCACUCUGGGAUGGACCUGCGGUGCAUUAGCUAGUUGGUAAGGUAACGGCUUACCAAGGCGAUGAUGCAUAGCCGAGUUGAGAGACUGAUCGGCCACAAUGGAACUGAGACACGGUCCAUACUCCUACGGGAGGCAGCAGUAGGGAAUCUUCCACAAUGGGCGCAAGCCUGAUGGAGCAACACCGCGUGAGUGAAGAAGGGUUUCGGCUCGUAAAGCUCUGUUGUUGGAGAAGAACGUGCGUGAGAGUAACUGUUCACGCAGUGACGGUAUCCAACCAGAAAGUCACGGCUAACUACGUGCCAGCAGCCGCGGUAAUACGUAGGUGGCAAGCGUUAUCCGGAUUUAUUGGGCGUAAAGCGAGCGCAGGCGGUUGCUUAGUCUGAUGUGAAGCCUUCGGCU
rnacentral:rRNA from 1 species